UGGGGAAUUUUGGACAAUGGGGGAAACCCUGAUUCAGCCAUCCCGCGUGUGCGAUGAAGGCCUUCGGGUUGUAAAGCACUUUUGGCAGGAAAGAAACGUCAUGGGUUAAUACCCCGUGAAACUGACGGUACCUUCAGAAUAAGCACCGGCUAACUACGUGCCAGCAGCCGCGGUAAUACGUAGGGUGCAAGCGUUAAUCGGAAUUACUGGGCGUAAAGCGUGCGCAGGCGGUUCGGAAAGAAAGAUGUGAAAUCCCAGAGCUCAACUUUGGAACUGCAUUUUUAACUACCGGGCUAGAGUGUGUCAGAGGGAGGUGGAAUUCCGCGUGUAGCAGUGAAAUGCGUAGAUAUGCGGAGGAACACCGAUGGCGAAGGCAGCCUCCUGGGAUAACACUGACGCUCAUGAACGAAAGCGUGGGGAGCAAACAG
rnacentral:rRNA from 1 species